rnacentral:rRNA from 1 species
UGAGUUUGAUUCUGGCUCAGAACGAACGCUGGCGGCAGGCCUAACACAUGCAAGUCGAGCGAGACCUUCGGGUCUAGCGGCGGACGGGUUAGUAACGCGUGGGAACGUGCCCAGCUCUGCGGAAUAGCCUCUGGAAACGGAGAGUAAUACCGCAUACGCCCUUCGGGGGAAAGAAUUUCGGAGUUGGAUCGGCCCGCGUUAGAUUAGGUAGUUGGUGGGGCAACGGCCUACCAAGCCUACGAUCUAUAGCUGGUUUGAGAGGAUGAUCAGCAACACUGGGACUGAGACACGGCCCAGACUCCUACGGGAGGCAGCAGUGGGGAAUCUUCGGCAAUGGGCGCAAGCCUGACCGAGCCAUGCCGCGUGAGCGAUGAAGGCCUUAGGGUUGUAAAGCUCUUUCGCCAGGGAUGAUAAUGACAGUACCUGGUAAAGAAACCCCGGCUAACUCCGUGCCAGCAGCCGCGGUAAUACGGAGGGGGUUAGCGUUGUUCGGAAUUACUGGGCGUAAAGCGCGC